rnacentral:rRNA from 1 species
UACGUAGGGGGCAAGCGUUGUUCGGAAUUACUAGGCGUAAAGGGCGCGUAGGCGGCACGGCAAGUCAGGAGUGAAAGGCCUGGGCUCAACCGAGGAACUGCUUUUGAGACUGCCGAGCUAGGGUGCAGAAGGGGCAACUGGAAUUCCCAGUGUAGCGGUGAAAUGCGUAGAUAUUGGGAAGAACACCUGAGGCGAAGGCGGGUUGCUGGGCUGACACUGACGCUGAGGCGCGAAAGCCAGGGGAGCAAACGGG